rnacentral:lncRNA from 1 species
AUUUGGCCCUGUGCUCCUUGGAAGAAGGAAAUUUUAAAUUAGUAUGAACUGCAGCUGCAUCUUCUCACUGCAACAUUUUGCAUGAUGCAGGUUAAUGGCUGUCUGCUAGAAAAGAUGACUUCUCUGUUUCAGCUCUUACAGGAUUCUUGGCACCCUGAUCAUUAGAAGGGUUACUCUCUUUAACUAUAUUGCUGUAGGAAUGCAUCUUUUAAGUAUCCUGCUGCAUUAUUUUGACAUGACCUUCAUAUAUUUUCAGCUUAUAGUUUCUGGAAUUCUUUUUCUCCGAUAAGAAGCAAUGUUGCUGGGUGUGCUUUUUUUAACAAACCUUGAUGGAAGAUCAGGGAAAAAAAAGCUAAUAUAUCUGAUGGCUUGAUAAUUUCAGGAUCAAAACAGAUUUUAAGCGUUUAUCUUCUUGCACUUCUUGAUGAAUCUGUUUGACCAGGCAGCUGGUGUAUGAGAUCUAGCCGGCAGCACACAGAACACAUUAGGGAAACAAAGAGAAUGUUAGAUUAAACUGAAAAGAGGCAAGAGCAGCAUUUCCUCACCGUUCUGCAUGAAGGCAGAAGAUGCUCUGAAAGGAUACAAACUCAGUUUUCUUACUGGACCUAUGGCCUCUCUCCCCCAUCAGAUUAUUCAAAGAUGAUUGGUGCUGAGAAGGCUGGACGUUGGCAGCAGAAGUACAGUGCUAGUCCCUGGACUCCCUGCUAAACCCCACUGGAGCUCCCCGCUGUUGCGGCUUCCUCUCUGAAGAGCCUUCCAGCAACUGCUCAUUUUGGCAGGAUCUCCUUCCAUCUGCUCCCUUGCCUUGCCUAGGCUCGACCCAGAAAU